rnacentral:rRNA from 1 species
CCUACGGGAUGCACCAGUGGGGAAUAUUGCACAAUGGGCGCAAGCCUGAUGCAGCCAUGCCGCGUGUAUGAAGAAGGCCUUCGGGUUGUAAAGUACUUUCAGCGGGGAGGAAGGUGUUGUGGUUAAUAACCGCAGCAAUUGACGUUACCCGCAGAAGAAGCACCGGCUAACUCCGUGCCAACAGCCGCGGUAAUACGGAGGGUGCAAGCGUUAGUCGGAAUUACUGGGCGUAAAGCGCACGCAGGCGGUCUGUCAAGUCGGAUGUGAAAUCCCCGGGCUCAACCUGGGAACUGCAUUCGAAACUGGCAGGCUAGAGUUUUGUAGAGGGGGGUAGAAUUCCAUGUGUAGCGGUGAAAUGCGUAGAGAUGUGGAGGAAUACCGGUGGCGAAGGCGGCCCCCUGGACAAAGACUGACGCUCAGGUGCGAAAGCGUGGGGAGCAAACAGGAUUAGAUACCCGAGUAGUC